ACACGAAGAAGAAAAUGCGAUGAAAACAAAACGACUCUCACAAAACACCCUUCAAAUUGUAGCAACUGAAACUAAUUUCUGCCUUACUGAAACACAAUUUUGCCUAAAUUCAGGUCAACGUUACAGCUUGAUUCACUUAGACUAACUAGAUAGCUUGCUCUGAUUAACUCCAAGAGGCACAGCUAACGAUAUAUAAUAACAGAAUAUUAGCAAGCCGCUAGCUAACAUUAGCUGACAGCAAAGCCAACUAGCUUAGCUUCUACAGUUUCCGUGCUGUUUGGCGACAACUUUAGUUAGCAACUAAACAUGUCGGACGAUUAUGAAUUCAGCGAUGACACGACCAUGAUGAGAAUGGAAGAGGAUGGGGAGGCAAACAGUGAUGACCCGAUGUCUGCGGCUGGGGACUGUGGCCCGAUGGGGGGCGAGGCCGAGGGAUCAAGAAUUGACGCCAGUAAAAACGAGGAGGAUGAGGGGAAGAUGUUUGUAGGAGGGCUCAGCUGGGACACGACUAAGAAGGACCUGAAAGAUUACUUUUCCAAGUAUGGGGAGGUUGUAGACUGCACAUUAAAACUGGACCCCAUGACUGGCCGUUCAAGGGGCUUUGGCUUUGUGCUCUUCAAAGAACCUGACAGUGUUGACAAGGUUGUUACCCAAAAGGAGCAUAAACUCAAUGGAAAGGUCAUUGACCCCAAAAAAGCCAAGGCCAUGAAGAGCAAGGAGCCCGUAAAGAAGAUCUUUGUUGGUGGUCUCUCUCCAGACACUCCUGAAGAGAAAGUCAGAGAGUACUUUGGUGCCUUUGGAGAGGUGGAGUCAAUUGAACUUCCCAUGGAGAACAAAACAAACAAAAGGAGAGGCUUCUGCUUCAUCACAUUCAAAGAGGAGGAUCCAGUUAAGAGGAUCAUGGAGAAAAAGUACCACAAUAUUGGACUAAGCAAGUGUGAAAUAAAAGUGGCAAUGUCCAAAGAACAGUACCAGCAGCAGCAGUACUGGGGAGGCAGAGGUGGAUACUCAUCCAGGUCUCGAGGAAGAGGUGGUGGUCCCAAUCAAAACUGGAACCAGGGUUAUGGCAACUACUGGAAUCAAGGCUAUGGAAAUUAUGGCAAUUAUGGGUACAAUAAUCAAGGAUAUGGAGGAUAUGGUGGCUAUGAUUACCCUAGUUACAACAACUAUUAUGGAUAUGGUGACUACAACGAUCAAUCUGGUGGAUAUGGCAAGUCGCCACGGCGUGGUGGUCACACCAACAGUUACAAGCCGUAUUAAUGGGGGAAACCCUCAUCUUCAAGUAGGUAUGUAAAAACAAAAAUACUCUACUUACUGUAAACUUAAAGUAGUCAUAUUUACUUUGCUGUUUGGUAACAUUAUUUGUAAUUUCCUCUUAUAAAUUUCUUUUUCUCAGCACCCUGAAGUGCUUUACAGUAGUGGUAACAUAGAGGCUACACUCUUGUGGCGAUUAUUUUUAACAGCUGGCCUUCUGCUGCCUCUUUUGCACCUUCAUUUUUUUUAAACUGUAAAGUUAACAGGUAAAGUACUGCUACUACAGUAAAUGGAUGCCACAGAAAAGGAAGUAUGUUGUCUCCUAACUCUGACAUACCUUGUUUGUACCUGCCAGCGGAGCUUCCUUGCAGGCCAUGAGCUGACUCCCAGAUACUCUCAGGGCCCGCUCAAUGCGGACCGGGUACGAGAAGCAUACGCUCUCGAAUGCUGCCAUUUGGUAUGGUCUUACAACAUCCUGUAUCAGCAUUUCUAAACUAAAACAAUAUGGGACACGUCCAGCUUUGUCAUCUUUCUUUCCAUUUUAAUUUGUUUGCAACUGUUUGUAAUGUAAAACUUAAAAUAUACACAUGUAAUUGUCAUUUUUUACAGGCCCUUACUCCCCCACAAGUAAUGAUUAUAAAUAUGAAAAAAUAACUAUUUGUUUUUCAAAGGAUAUGUACAGCAUUCUCUGGACUUCCCAGUUCCUAUUGUUAAUAUAUGCAUUCCUAAUCUUAUCUAAAAUGCUUGUUUCUUUAUUUAGCUCUUGUAGCCAGUAGUCCAUGAGCUAAAACCUGGUUCGUAGUUGGACUCUACCGUGUUGGGGGAUAAAGUGCUUUACUUUGUGUACAUGUAUUGUUCUGUUUUGUGUUACUGACAGCGAUGGAAAAGACUCCUCUUUUGUUAAUUUUCUUGUAACGAAUUUUCCUCUUAUAACCUUUUGUAAAACAAGAAGUGUCACUACAUUUCCAGAAAUUUGCAUGUAAUGCUUCUUUAACGUGUAUUUUUGACCAAUCGAAGGUUUCUUCCAUUUAGUAUUUUGGCUUUGACCUCUUCAAUUUAUUGCACUUCAGGAUUUCUAGCUUAUGGACUAACUUUUUUUAACUGUAAAAUGUUAAAAUAAUUGUUCUCAGUUUGUUUUUUCUUAUUGUUUUUUUUUUUUUUUUUACAUUGGACAUUAUAAACACGGGGGAUUCCUAUUUUUUUAAUUAAUUUAACAGUUUUUUUGUUCAUCUAUAGCUGAUUUGUUUUUGUUUGUUUUUCACAGGUUUCAGAGUGAUGAAAGACAGCUGUGGGCUGGUGGAGCAUUGGCCAGAGAGUGAUGAUGGUAUCCAGCAAAGAUCACUAGCUGAUUUAUUUCCUGGCAACCCGUGUGGAUGUUCUUUGGAACGAGUCAGCCUGAAAAGAAACAAAGGAAAUCUAAUAAAACACCAGUGAUGGUGGAAGAAGUACCCAGAUCCUUUACUUAAAGGGGAACUCAACCAAUUUUACACAUCAAAAUCUGUUUACAUGUGUUGGGGAGUACUAUUGCAUAUGUGAAAAAAGUUGUAUUAAGUCUUUUGUGGCUUCACGGGAAGCUGUGCCAAAUCUGAUGAAUUUCAGUUGGGUCUGAAGACGAGCUACCGGACCUCUGUAGCUCCUCGUCUCUGCUGCAGGCUGGAGGCUACAGGCUACAUUAGCCGCCACUAGCAUAACACACCUGAAUCUCCCACUGAACUGUCAGUGACUGAGUUGGAUUGUGGGUAAUGUAGGCGCCAGAUUUUGACCAGGAAGAAGAAUGUGUGGAAAAGUGAUGGGAAUCACGGCUCUUUGAAGGGAGUCGGAUCUUAUGGCUCCGUUCCUUUCUGAGACUCAUAGUUCUUUCUUUUUUUUUUAUAGGGGGCGGUGGUUUUCGAGGUUUAUCUGUGAAAUAAUCACUAGGAUAAUGAUAGGGUAAGAUUUGGAUCAGAUUCAACUUAGACAUCCCACCAAUCUCAUUUUAUUUCGUAUGUGUGGACUAGGUUUAGCAGCACUAAAUUACUCGUAUUGCCAGACCUAAUGUCAAUGAUCUGCACUGUAAACGUUACAGAAGGUGACGCCAUAUCCCUCUGCUUUGUCAGUGAUUUUACUACUUUGAAUUUACCCUCUGUAUGAAAUGUGUUAUGUAAAUAAAGUUAUAUGCAACACUUAA